rnacentral:rRNA from 1 species
GACAGGUGCUGCAUGGCUGUCGUCAGCUCGUGUUGUGAAAUGUUGGGUUAAGUCUCGCAACGAGCGCAACCCCUAUCUUUAGUUGCCAGCAUUAAGUUGGGCACUCUAGAGAGACUGCCCGGGUUAACCGGGAGGAAGGUGGGGAUGACGUCAAGUCCUCAUGGCCCUUAUGCCUAGGGCUACACACGUAAUACAAUGGUACAUACAAAGAGAAGCGAACUCGCGAGGGGAAGCAAAUCUCAAAAAAUGUAUCUCAGUCCGGAUUGGAGUCUGCAACUCGACUCCAUGAAGUUGGAAUCGCUAGUA